UACGUAGGGGGCAAGCGUUGUCCGGAAUCAUUGGGCGUAAAGCGCGUGUAGGCGGCCAGGUAAGUCCGUUCUGAAAGCCCGGGGCUCAACCCCGGGAGGCGGAUGGAUACUGCUUGGCUCGAGUCCGGAAGAGGUGAGUGGAAUUCCCGGUGUAGCGGUGAAAUGCGCAGAUAUCGGGAGGAACACCAAUGGCGAAGGCGACUACCUGGCCUGUUCUUGACGCUGAGGCGCGAAAGCUAGGGGAGCAAACGGG
rnacentral:rRNA from 1 species